rnacentral:rRNA from 1 species
UCAAGUUAUUAAGGGUGCAGGGCGGAUGCUUGGCACUAGGAGCCGAUGAAGGACGUGAUAAGCUGCGAUAAGCUUCGGGGAGUUGCACGUAAACUUUGAUCCGAAGAUUUCCGAAUGAGGAAACUCACUUAGAGUAAUGUCUAAGUAUCAUUAAGUGAAUACAUAGCUUAAUGAGGGGAACUCAGGGAACUGAAACAUCUAAGUACCUGAAGGAAGAGAAAGAAAUUCGAUUCCGUAAGUAGCGGCGAGCGAACGCGGAUUAGCCCAAACCAAUAAAGUUUUCUUUAUUGGGGUUGCGGACAUAUCAUAACGAAGAGGUAUCGUAAUUGAAGAGGUUUGGAAAGACCCACCACAGAAGGUAAUAGUCCUGUAUGUUAAACGAGAAGACUUUAGAUAUGAUCCAGAGUACCACGGGACACGUGAAACCCUGUGGGAAGCAGGAGGGACCACCCUCCAAGGCUAAAUACUACCUAGUGACCGAUAGCGUAUAGUACCGUGAGGGAAAGGUGAAAAGAACCCCGGGAGGGGAGUGAAAUAGAACCUGAAACCCUGCACUUACAAGCUGUGGAAGCACAUUUCUUGUGUGACCGCGUACUUUUUGUAGAACGGGCCAACGAGUUACGUUAAGUAGCAAGGUUAAGCACUUAAGGUGCGGAGCCGUAGCGAAAGCGAGUUUUAACUGAGCGUUCAGUUACUUGACGUAGACCCGAAACCGGGCGACCUACCCAUGAGCAGGAUGAAGCGAAAGUAAAAUUUCGUGGAGGUCCGAACCCACGAGCGUUGAAAAGCUCGGGGAUGACUUGUGGGUAGCGGUGAAAUUCCAAUCGAGCCCGGAGAUAGCUGGUUCUCCCCGAAAUAGCUUUAGGGCUAGCCUCAAGGUGAGAGAUACGGAGGUAGAGCACUGAAUGUCCUAGGGGGUAUUGCACCUACCGAAGACUAUCAAACUCCGAAUGCCGUCAUCUUAUACUUGGGAGUCAGACUGUGGGUGAUAAGAUUCAUAGUCGAAAGGGCAACAGCCCAGAUCGUCAGCUAAGGUCCCUAAAUGUAAGUUAAGUGGUAAAGGAUGUGGGAUUGCACAGACAACCAGGAUGUUGGCUUAGAAGCAGCCACUCAUUCAAAGAGUGCGUAAUAGCUCACUGGUCGAGUGAUCCUGCGCCGAAGAUUUCCGGGGCUAAAACUUACUACCGAAGCUACGGCAUCAGUAAUGAUGGGUAGGGGAGCUUCCCAUACGGGUUGAAGCAUGACCGUAAGGACAUGUGGACAGUAUGGGAGUGAGAAUGUUGGCAUGAGUAGCGAGAUGUGGGUGAGAAUCCCACAGGCCGUAAACCCAAGGUUUCCAGGGGAAGGUUCGUCCGCCCUGGGUUAGUCGGGACCUAAGCUGAGGCCGAAAGGCGUAGGUGAUGGACAACAGGUUGAUAUUCCUGUACUACCGAUAACCGUUUGAGAGAAGGGAUGACACAGUAGGAUAAGCUAAGCACACUGUUGGUUAUGUGUGCCCAAGCAUUGAGGCAGUCAAAGUAGGCAAAUCCGCUUUGAUAAUGCUGGGAUGUGAUGGGGAGCGAAAUUUAGUAGCGAAGUAGCUGAUUUCACACUGUCAAGAAAAGUCUCUAUCGAGGUUAAAGGUACCCGUACCGCAAACCGACACAGGUGGGUGAGGAGAGUAUCCUAAGGCCAGCGAGAGAACUGUUGUUAAGGAACUCGGCAAAAUGACCCCGUAACUUAGGGAUAAGGGGUGCCACCAUCAGGUGGCCGCAGAGAAUAGGCCCAAGCGACUGUUUACCAAAAACAUAGGUUUCUGCUAAGUCGCAAGACGAUGUAUAGGAGCUGACGCCUGCCCGGUGCUGGAAGGUUAAGGGGAUCUGUUAGAGCAAUCGAAGCAGUGAACUUAAGCCCCAGUAAACGGCGGCCGUAACUAUAACGGUCCUAAGGUAGCGAAAUUCCUUGUCGGGUAAGUUCCGACCCGCACGAAAGGCGUAACGAUUUGGGCACUGUCUCAACAACAGACUCGGUGAAAUUGUAAUUCCGGUGAAGAUGCCGGAUACCUGCGACAGGACGGAAAGACCCCAUGGAGCUUUACUGUAGCUUGACAUUGGGUCUUGGUACUACAUGUACAGGAUAGGUGGGAGGCUUUGAAACCAGGACGCCAGUUUUGGCGGAGCCAUCCUUGGGAUACCACCCUUGUAGUACUGGGACUCUAACCAUAGGCCAUGAAUCUGGUCUUGGGACACUGUCAGGUGGGCAGUUUGACUGGGGCGGUCGCCUCCCAAAAGGUAACGGAGGCGCUCAAAGGUUCUCUCAGUACGGUCGGAAAUCGUACGUAGAGUGUAAAGGCAAAAGAGAGCUUGAUUGCAAGACAUACAGGUCGAGCAAGGAUGAAAAUCGGACUUAGUGAUCCGGUGGUUCUGCGUGGAAGGGCCAUCGCUCAACGGAUAAAAGCUACCCUGGGGAUAACAGGCUUAUCUCCCCCAAGAGUCCACAUCGACGGGGAGGUUUGGCACCUCGAUGUCGGCUCAUCACAUCCUGGGGCUGUAGUAGGUCCCAAGGGUUGGGCUGUUCGCCCAUUAAAGUGGUACGCGAGCUGGGUUCAGAACGUCGUGAGACAGUUCGGUCCCUAUCCGUCGCAGGCGUAGGAAAUUUGAGAAGACCUGUCCUUAGUACGAGAGGACCGGGAUGGACGUACCUCUGGUGUACCAGUUGUCCUGCCAAGGGCAUGGCUGGGUAGCUAUGUACGGAAUGGAUAAGCGCUGAAAGCAUCUAAGCGCGAAGCCAACUUCAAGAUAAGAUUUCCCACCGCAAGGGUAAGACCCCAGAAAGACUAUCUGGUUGAUAGGUCGAAGGUGUAAGUGCAGCAAUGUAUUUAGCUUAUCGAUACUAAUAGGUCGAGGACUUGACC